rnacentral:rRNA from 1 species
UCGCUCUUGAACGAGGAAUCCCUAGUAAGUACAAGUCAUUAGCUUGUGCUGAUUACGUCCCUGCCCUUUGUACACACCGCCCGUCGCUACUACCGAUUGAAUGGCUUAGUGAGGCCUUCGGAUUGAGAUUUGGAGACUGGCAACAGACUCUAGAUUUUGAAAAGUUGGUCAAACUUGGUCAUUUAGAGGAAGUAAAAGUCGUAACAAGGUUUCCGUAGGUGAACCUGCGGAAGGAUCAUUAUCGAUUUAGCGAACCUGCUAUGGUUUCGCGAAACAAUGUAUUUAAAACCUACUCAUAUAAAAAAUUUUUUUGUAUAUAUAAUAUAUUUAAGAUCACUUUCAACAACGGAUCUCUUGGUUCUCGCAUCGAUGAAGAACGUAGCGAAGUGCGAUAAGUAAUGUGAAUUGCAGAUUCCGUGAAUCAUCGAAUCUUUGAACGCAAAUUGCACUCUCUGGCAUUCCAGGGAGUAUGCCUGUUUGAGGGUCAGUAUAACAAAAAAAAAUCGGUAUGUUGCUUUUUUUGUGACUUUCCGGAUUUUGGGUUAUCUUAAUGUUUUUAAAAUUUAAGAGGCUUAAAAUUGAUCUCUUGCGCAUUAUUUUUAGAUGUACAUAAAUUCUUUUAUUCGUCAUAUAAUGCCAAAAUUUGUUAGAUACGAUCAUACUGUGUGGUUCGUACCUAAAAUUUUUCAUAAUUUGACCUCAAAUCAGGUAGGAAUACCCGCUGAACUUAAGCAUAUCAAUAAGCGGAGGAAAAGAAAUAACAAUGAUUCCCUUAGUAACUGCGAGUGAGGAGGGACAAGCUCAAAUUUUAAUCUGUUAGGUUUUACCUAUUCGAGUUGUAAUUUGUAGAAGCGUUUUCUGCGUAAUUUGACCAGUCCAAGUCCUAUUGAAUGAGGCAUCAUGGAGGGUGAUAUCCCGUUCGAUUGAUCAUUGCGUUUUACGAUUAUGCUUUUCAAAGAAGUCAAGUUGUUUGGGAAUGCAGCUUAAAAUGGGAGGUUAAUUUCUCCUUAGGCUUAAUAACCGCGAAGAGAACCGAUAGGUGAACAAGUACCGUGAGGAAAGAUGAAAAGAACUUUGAAAAGAAAGUUAAAAAGUUACGGAAAUGUGAAGGGUAACGAAUGAAGUCAGCGUACGGCCGAUAAUCAUCUUCGCUAUUAUGUGAACUGUAGAGUAAUCCUUCAAUGCCCGCAUAUUCCCGGAUAUUUUUGGUGUACUUAUCUGUAUGGUAGGUUAACAUCAAUUUUGGUCGUUAUAAAAUGACUGGGGAAAUGUGGCUUUGAUUUCGUAUUGAAGUGUUAUAGUCUCUGGUAGAUAUAGUGACCGGGAUUGAGGAUUGCAACGGAUACCCUUUCGGAGCUACUCGUCUGAUCUCUGAUCGUUACUCUGGUGCUGAAAGCUUGCUUACGGUUAUCAAAGUUGAUGGUUAAUAAGUUAGAACGGGUUAAAUUCGUUAAGGAUGUUGACGUAAUGGCUUUAAACGACCCGUCUUGAAACACGGACCAAGGAGUCUAACAUAUAUGCGAGUGUUC